CGCUCUUUGCCAGCUCGUAGUGUGAUAAUAGUGUCCUUAACCACAUAGGACGGUGAUUGAUGUUGUAAAUAGAGCGACGGCGGCGUCUAAAACUCCAGUGCGAUUUUAAUUGUUAAUUUCUGCUCAUUUUCUUGCAUUAUUAUUAUCUUAAUAGCCGUCGUUGUUGCACUUUCGUUCUGCUUGUUGAAGUUCUUAAUAACAGUAGUUCUUUAUAAUUAUAAAAGUGAAAUAUUUAAGGCUGUUUCUUGUCACAUCUCUGUAGUAGAUCAAGCCUUGCUUAAGUUUGCUAAGUACUAUUUAAAACAUGAACAGCAGUGUUUAUCAAAUAUAAAGGUAUACGAGGCGAAGCCAAGUAUCUUUAGAUCUGAUAAAACAAUAAAACAUGCACUGCAAAUGUUUUAAAUUGCUUCAAAAACGAUCAAUCUAGUAAGUUUGUUGGCGAAGUAAUUUUCAAAAAAUAUGUUGUGUAAGUCGAGGAAAUCAAAGUUAAAGUUUAUGUAAAUCAAGGGAAAUCCCUAUCACAUAUAAAGGUAUGACACGCUUAUGAUUUUUCUUUGUGUUUUCC